rnacentral:rRNA from 1 species
UACGGAGGGUGCAAGCGUUAAUCGGAAUUACUGGGCGUAAAGCGCACGUAGGUGGUUUGCUAAGCCAGCUGUGAAAUCCCUGGGCUCAACCUGGGCACUGCAGUUGGAACUGGCAAGCUAGAGUAGGGUAGAGGGGUGUGGAAUUCCAGGUGUAGCGGUGAAAUGCGUAGAUAUCUGGAGGAACAUCAGUGGCGAAGGCGACACCCUGGACUCAUACUGACACUGAGGUGCGAAAGCGUGGGGAGCAAACAGG